rnacentral:lncRNA from 1 species
UUUGGUUACAUACAUUUAGAUUCUUUCUCUGGAUGGACAUAAAUGAUCACUUCCAUUGUUUCCAGGAAGGAGAACCAGGCGGCUGGUAGUCAGGGGCAGGAGGUGACUCUUGGUUCAAAAUUCAAAACAUACAUGUGACUAUAUUACCUAUCUGAAAAACUCUUAAAAAUACUUUACAGUCCUUGUCUUGGCUUCUAAUGUCUGCAGCCUCCAGGCUUCACCCCCAUGCUUCUUGGGAACCACUCAGAGAGGAGGGAGGGGAAUUACAUUUAGAUUCCUCUGCCACUUGACCCCUUAGACGUCUCUGCCUUCUGU